GAGAGUUUGAUCAUGGCUCAUAUUGAACGCUGGCGGCAGGCUUAACACGUGCAAGUCGAACGGUAGCAGGAGAAAGCUUGCUUUCUUGCUGACGAGUGGCGGACGGGUGAGUAAUGCUUGGGAAUCUGGCUUAUGGAGGGGGAUAACUACGGGAAACUGUAGCUAAUACCGCGUAGAAUCGGAAGAUGAGAGUGCGGGACCGCAAGGCCGCAUGCCAUGAGAUGAGCCCAAGUGGGAUUAGGUAGUUGGUGGGGUAAAGGCCUACCAAGCCUGCCAUCUCUAGCUGGUCUGAGAGGAUGGCCGGCCACACUGGAACUGAGACACGGUCCAGACUCCUACGGGAGGCAGCAGUGGGGAAUAUUGGGCAAUGGGAGGGAACCCUGACGCAGCCAUGCCGCGUGAAUGAAGAAGGCCUUCGGGUUGUAAAGUUCUUUCGGUAUUGAGGAAGGAGUGUAUGUUAAUAGCAUACAUUAUUGACGUUAAAUACAGAAAGAAAGCACCGGGCUAACUCCCGUGCCCAGCAGCCCGCGGGUAUACGGGAGGGUGCGAGCGUUAAAUCGGAAUAAACUGGGCGUAAAGGGCACGCAAGGCGGUUUAUUUAAGUGAGGUGGUGAAAGCCCCGGGCUUAACCUGGGAAUUGCAUUUCAGACUGGGUAACUAGAGUACUUUAGGGGAGGGGUAGAAUUCCACGUGUAGCGGUGAAAUUGCGUAGAGAUGUGGGAGGAAUACCGAAAGCGAAGGCAGCCCUUGGAAUGUACUGAACGCUCAUGUGCGAAGCGUGGGGAGGCAAACAGGAUUAGAUACCUGGGUAGUUCACGCUGUAACGCUGUUCGAUUGGGGAUGGCCUAAGCUUGGUGGCGUAGCUUACGUGGAUAAUUCGACGGCUUGGGGAGUACGCGCAGUAAAACUCAAAUGAUUGACGCGUGCAAGCGUGAGCAUGUGUUAUCGAUGCACGGAGACUACUACUUGACUCAUGAUUUAGAAUGAAGCUCGACUGACGUCUCAUGCGGUCAGCUGUGAGAGUAUCGCAAGCACUACUUGUCGAUUGACAGAUGCAGUACUGAAAGUGAUA
rnacentral:rRNA from 1 species